GAUGGAGGUGAUCUUGGUGACGAUGACGAUGUGAAGCACCUAGUAGAAUGCCUGGUGCAUGAUCUCCAGAGAGGAAGAGAAUAAAAACUCCCCUGAAAUAAUUACUCUCGUUGAGGAUAUUUAGGAGAAGGACGAUGUUUUAUUUUUUCAUUGAACUUCCAGUACCUACCACAAUACCUGCCUGGCACACAGUGGCACUCAAUAAGUGCUGCUGGAUGGCACUUUGAAAACACUGACUAUUAAAAGAUACACUUGGAAAUAUUUACAAUGAAAUGAUAGAAGUCUUGGAUUAGCUUCAAAACAAGCCAGCAGAGAAGACUAGGAGUGGAGCCAGAUUUUUCUUCUUGAAGUUGGGGGGUCGGGUCCAUCGCAUUCAUCAUUAUAUGUUCUUCUCAACUUUUAUGUUUGAAAAGUUCCUAAUAAAAAGUUGAAAAACUUUCAGCAGCAUUAAAUGAAAUAUUCACCAAAUGGGAUGAAAGUCCCAUUUCUACAUGAAAGUAGAAAGCAACAUCUUCCUCUUGGUGUUUUGCUGUGCCCCAUCUUUCUCAGGAUCUCCAUGUGUUUCUAUUUCUUUCUCUCCUUUCUCACACCCUUGGCAAACUCCUCUGUCUUUCAACUACCUUAUGGUAUUCUCUUUUCCUUCAACUGAGACUUUUCUCUGCAGCAUUUACUAGAGGUGUAUAUUUUCCUCAUCCCUUCCCCAUGUCGUCUCUUUCCUCUCUUACAUCUGCUAAAUUCAUUUGCAUUAUGGGCACAGAUGCCAUGCCCCUUGACUUCUUCCCCUGUAGGGCAAUUGUCCUUAAGAGAACCACACUCCUUAUUCCUAUUAUGGCAACAGGAGAAGGGGGUACAUACUUGUGGCCAGGCACUGUUACCUUUCUGUCUCCCUGUGAACUAUGUGUGUGCCAGAACACUCUAUCUAUCUACCUGUCCACUUGGGCAAAAAUUUAGACUGAACAAUUACUUGGCAGGUUUUAAAGGUGGCAACAAUAGAACUCAUUAAUUGCGGAGGGAAGAAUGACACAUGUCCAAUUGUUUAGUUCUUUUUCUAAAUGGGUACUUAAUAAUUCAUAAGAAAUGUAGAAGCCGGGCGCGGCAGCUCACGCUUGUAAUCCCAGCACUUUGGGAGGCCGAGGCGGGCGGAUCACAAGGUCAGGAGAUUGAGACCACGGUGAAACCCCAUCUCUACUAAAAAUACAAAAAAAUUAGCCGGGCGUGGUGGUGGGUGCCUGUAGUCCCAGCUACUCGGAGAGGCUGAGGCAGGAGAAUGGCGUGAACCCGGGAGGUGGAGUUUGCAGUGAGCCGAGAUUGCGCCACUGCACUCCAGCCUGGGCGACAGAGCGAGACUCCGUCAAAAAAAAAAAAAAAAAAAAAAA